rnacentral:misc_RNA from 1 species
UCCGACUUAACGUCGGCAGUCCUUCUAGAGUGCCCAACUAAAUGCUGGCAACUAAAAGCAAGGGUUGCGCUCGUUGCGGGACUUAACCCAACAUCUCACGACACGAGCUGACGACAGCCAUGCAGCACCUGUGAACAGACCCUUGCGGGCGACGACAUUUCUGCCAGUCUUCCUGUCCAUGUCAAACCCAGGUAAGGUUCUUCGCGUUGCAUCGAAUUAAACCACAUGCUCCACCGCUUGUGCGGGCCCCCGUCAAUUUCUUUGAGUUUUAAUCUUGCGACCGUACUCCCCAGGCGGGACACUUAACGCGUUAGCUGCGUCACUGAAGGGGUCAAUACCUCCAACAACAAGUGUCCAUCGUUUACGGCGUGGACUAC